AGAGAGAGAGAGAGAGAGAGAGAGAGAGAGAGAGAGAGAGAAGGGGCAUAAUUAGGUUGAGAAAUUGGACAGGGGAGAGAAAAAAAAGAGGGGGGGGAGAGGGGGAGGGAGGAAAGGAGGUCGAGUUUUGGAACAGAAGUCAGCUUAAAAAACGAGGAAGGAGCAAAAAAGGAUCUGGGUCAAGAUUUGGGUCUGGGAAAGAAAGUCUAGGGAAAAAAAUCUGGGGAAGGAAGGCUUGGGAAAAAAUCUGGGGAAGAAAGUCUAGGGAAAAAAGUGGGGAAGAAAGUCUAGGGAAAAAUGUCUGUGGAAGGAAGUCUAGGGAAAAAAGUGGGGAAGAAAGUCUAGGGAAAAAUGUCUGGGGAAGAAAGUCUAGGGAAAAAAGUCGAGUUGUGUGUUUUACAAUGGUCAUCAGGAGGGAAAAAUGACGCCCAUAAUUUGAAUGUAAGGGAGAAAAAAAAUAGUCUAGGGUAAUUUUUUGGCUCGAGAGAGAGAGAGAGAGAGAGAGAGAGAGAGAGAGAGAGAGAGAGAGAGAGACGUACCUCCAGAAACAGACACACAGACAGACACAGACAAGAAUAGAACCAGACACACUCAGACUAAUAGACAGACAGACAGACAGACAGACAGGCGCAUAUACAAAAAAAUAUAUAAAUAGAGGUCAAAAACAGGCAAAUUAACAGACAGACGAAUGACCAGACAUACACAGACAGACAGACAGGUAACUAUAUUCACAGACAGACAGAGUUAGAGACAGAUAGACAGACACAGACAGACAGGUAGAUAUGGAGAUAUGAAUAGAAACAGACAGACAGACAGACAGACAGACAAACAGAGGCGUCCAAGGAAGGGUUAAAAAUUAGGUCAGGAGGACAGUGUGUGUGUGUGUGUGUGUGUGUGUGUGUGUGUGUGUGUGUGUGUGUGUGUGGUUGGCAGGUUCUACAGUGACGUCACGAAGGGGGGGGGGACUAUAGUACGAUAUCUCUCUCUCUCUCUCUCUCUCUCUCUCUCUCUCUCUCUCUCUCUCUCUCUCUCUCUCUCUCUCUCUCUCUCUCUUCGAAUCCUUCUUUUCUUUCUCUCCUUUCCAUUUCCACUUUCCUUCCUUCCCUCCCUUUCUUUUCUCCUUCCUCCCUCCCUUGUAAUUAUUAUGUAUUUUUUUUCCUCCUUAUACAUUCCUUCUUUUUUUCCUUCCUUCCCCACCCCAUCUCAUCUCCCUUCCUAGUCUUUUUCCUCCUUUCUGAGUGCUUUCCUCAUCUUCCUCUCCCUCUUAUUCCUUCUUUCCCUCUAACGUCUUAUAAUCAUCCUUUCCCUUUUCCUCACUUUCCUUUCUCCUUGUGUCUUCCUCCCCUAUUGAUUCUCUCCCUCCAUCCUUCCCUCCUUCAUUGCUGUCAUCUCCUGUUCAUCUUUUCCUUUUAUAUCUACUUCUCUCUCCCUCUUUCUCUCUUCUCUCUUUGGGCGCUACGUUUUGCUAUGCUUAGAAUGAUAGCCAGUCUUCAUUUCCUUCUGAUUCUUCCCCUCCUUCCUUCCCUUCUUCAUCUCAUCCUUUCAUAUCUACUACUUCUCUCUCCCUCCUUCUCUCAUCUCUAUGGUCUGCUUAGGACCAUAGCUAAUCUUCAACACGUUACGUAACAUAUUGGCGGUCCAUUUUCUCAAACACUUUCGACUCCCACAAGAACUAUAUCCAAAUCCCUCUAAGGAGAUUGGUCGGGUUCUCAUGCGUUGUUUUUUGCGUUCUUGAGUCACUAGGUUCGUAAAACUACCCAUCUGACAUACUAACAUAACCUCUACUCAAGCCUUGUCAAGCUAAAACUAGGCUCGUUAAACCACCCAUAGAAAUCAUACUAACACAGCCUCUAUCCAUUUGAAAUACUAACACAACCUCUAUUAAAGCCUUGUCAAGCUAUAACUAGGCUCGUUAAACCACCCAUAGAAAUCAUACUAACAGCCUCUAUCCAUUUGAAAUACUAACACAACCUCUACUAAAGCUUGUCAAUCUAUUACUAGACUCACUAAACCACCCAUAGAUAUCAUACCAACACAGCCUCUACCAAAGAACUGUCAUACUAUCGCUAGGCUCAUAAAACUACACAUUUGAAAUACUAACACAACCUCUAUUAAAGCCUUGUCAAGCUAUAACUAGACUCACUAAACCACCCAUAGAUAUCAUACCAACACAGCCUCUACCAAAGAACUGUCACACUAUCGCUAGGCUCAUAAAACUACACAUUUGAAAUACUAACACAACCUCUACUAAAAUCAAUUCCAACACAGCCUCUACCAAAAAAUUGUCAUACUAUCGCUCGGCUCAUAAAACUACACAUUCUUCAACAUUUGGGCGCCCUAGUAUACGCAUUUGACAAGGUUUUCAUAGGAGUUUUAGGCAUGUCCAUGGGUACUCUUAUGACCCUAUUGGUAGUUUGACCCUUCUUCAGCACCCCGAACCUAGGGAAACACUCAUUACAACCCAGUUCACUCCCUUCUCGCCCUAUAGAAAUAGUUGACAUGAGAGGCGGAAACAUGAGAAUACCCUAUGAGAUGCAGACCUAGGGAAAGUUUACGUGUGUCUAGGGAUAUUUGCUGAGACCUGGGCCGGCUUUGUAGGGUAUAAUGAGAUUGAGGUUAAUGGCGCGGAGUGAUAUUAAGCGAUCCGUAGGGAGGGUUGUUAAUGGUGUCAGGGUAUUUAGGGGGUUUAGAGUGGUUUUAAUGCCUUGUUGGUUUGUUAUUGUAUUGUUGAUGAUGUGAAGAUUUGUUGCUUUAUAGUUUGGAAAGGAAGACAAGUAAGAAUUGGAAGAGAGCGAAGGUAAAUAAAGAAAGAAAAGAGGAAAGAGAGAAACAGGAAAAAAAGGAAAGGUAUAAGAAUGAAGUAAAAAUGAAAGAAGGAAAAGGGGAGAGAGAGGGAGGCAUAAGGAAAAAAAAAAAGAGGAAAGGGGAGAGAGAGAAAGUUAAAAGGGUGUAACGAGCAGAGAGAGAGAGAGAGAGAGAGAGAGAGAGAGAGAGAGAGAGAGAGAGAGAGAGAGAGAGAGAGAGAGAGAGGAAAA